AUUGAACGCUGGCGGCAGGCCUAACACAUGCAAGUCGAGCGGAUGAGGGAAGCUUGCUUCCUGAUUUAGCGGCGGACGGGUGAGUAAUGCCUAGGAAUCUGCCUGUUAGUGGGGGAUAACGUUCCGAAAGGAACGCUAAUACCGCAUACGUCCUACGGGAGAAAGUGGGGGAUCUUCGGACCUCACGCUAACAGAUGAGCCUAGGUCGGAUUAGCUAGUAGGUGAGGUAAUGGCUCACCUAGGCUACGAUCCGUAACUGGUCUGAGAGGAUAAUCAGUCACACUGGAACUGAGACACGGUCCAGACUCCUACGGGAGGCAGCAGUGGGGAAUAUUGGACAAUGGGCGAAAGCCUGAUCCAGCCAUGCCGCGUGUGUGAAGAAGGUCUUCGGAUUGUAAAGCACUUUAAGUUGGGAGGAAGGGCUGCAGGUUAAUACCUUGCAGCCUUGACGUUACCGACAGAAUAAGCACCGGCUAACUUCGUGCCAGCCGCCGCCGUAAUAC
rnacentral:rRNA from 1 species